rnacentral:rRNA from 1 species
CCUACGGGUAGCAGCAGUGAGGAAUAUUGGUCAAUGGACGAGAGUCUGAACCAGCCAAGUAGCGUGAAGGAUGACUGCCCUAUGGGUUGUACACUUCUUUUAUAUGGGAAUAAAAUGUUCCACGUGUGGGCUUUUGUACGUACCAUAUGAAUAAGGAUCGGCUAACUCCGGGCCAGCAGCAGCGUUAAUCCGGAGACUCCGAGCGUUAUCCGGAUGUAUUGGGUUUAAAGGGAGCGUAGGUGGAUUGUUAAUGCAGUUGUGAAAGUUUGCGGCUUAACCGUAAAAUUGCAGUUGAAACUGGCAGUCUUGAGUACAGUAGAGGUGGGCGGAAUUCGUGGUGUAGCGGUGAAAUGCUUAGAUAUCACGAAGAACUCCGAUUGCGAAGGCAGUUCACUGGACUGCAACUGACACUGAGGCUCGAAAGUGUGGGUAUCAAACAGGAGUAGAUACCCUUGUAGUC